GAUGAACGCUGGCGGCGUGCCUAAUACAUGCAAGUCGAGCGAACAGAUAAGGAGCUUGCUCCUUUGACGUUAGCGGCGGACGGGUGAGUAACACGUGGAUAACCUACCUAUAAGACUGGGAUAACUUCGGGAAACCGGAGCUAAUACCGGAUAACAUAUUGAACCGCAUGGUUCAAUAGUGAAAGGCGGCUUUGCUGUCACUUAUAGAUGGAUCCGCGCCGUAUUAGCUAGUUGGUAAGGUAACGGCUUACCAAGGCAACGAUACGUAGCCGACCUGAGAGGGUGAUCGGCCACACUGGAACUGAGACACGGUCCAGACUCCUACGGGAGGCAGUAGUAGGGAAUCUUCCGCAAUGGGCGAAAGCCUGACGGAGCAACGCCGCGUGAGUGAUGAAGGUCUUCGGAUCGUAAAACUCUGUUAUCAGGGAAGAACAAAUGUGUAAGUAACUGUGCACAUCUUGACGGUACCUGAUCAGAAAGCCACGGCUAACUACGUG
rnacentral:rRNA from 1 species